AUCAACGGAUGGCCGCGGUCUUCGCAUCGCUGUUCUAAAGGAAUCCGAUUUCGAAUUAGGUUCCAUUUGGUCUGACCGAAUAAUAAUUUUUCCCAAAGAGGGAGUUAAAAUCGAAAUCAAUGGUGUAUUGCGUGUGCUUGACUAUUUAGUUUUAUAUAGAUUUUUGUAUGUUGGAAGACUGUAGUCAUUGUGUGCAAUUUUCAUUGUUUUACCCGCUUUGUCUACGGGUGAUACAUCAAUCAGGCAGACUUUUUAUUUCCAAAUAAACAUGAGAAUUUUAAGAGAUACCAAGAAAGAACAAUACAGUAUCAAAAAAGAAUCUGAGUGGGAUACUGAUAUCAAUAUUAGACCAGAGUUUGAUUCAGAAUUUGAUGAUGUCAGUAAUAAUAUUAAAAUUGAAUGUGAAGAAUUUAAUGAUGAUAAAGUUGAAGAUGACAUAUUAGUAAGUAGAAAUAUUAUUAAUUUACGCAAAAUUGAAUUUAUUAAAAAAUAUAUUUAACCAC
rnacentral:lncRNA from 1 species